AACGCCUGUUAUCGACUCUGUUAA
rnacentral:siRNA from 1 species